GCGGGAGUGGCGGAAUCGGCAGACGCGCACGUUUGAGGGGCGUGUGUUUUUACGUACGGGUUCAAGUCCCGUCUCCCGCACCA
rnacentral:tRNA from 1 species